UACGAAGGGAGCUAGCGUUGUUCGGAAUCACUGGGCGUAAAGCGUGCGUAGGCGGCUUUGUAAGUUAGGAGUGAAAGCCCGGGGCUCAACCUCGGAAUUGCUUCUAAUACUGCUUAGCUAGAGUGAGGUAGAGGAUGGCAGAAUUCCUAGUGUAGAGGUGAAAUUCGUAGAUAUUAGGAGGAAUACCGGAGGCGAAAGCGGCCAUCUGGGCCUAUACUGACGCUAAGGCACGAAAGCGUGGGGAGCAAACAGG
rnacentral:rRNA from 1 species